GACGAACGCUGGCGGCGUGCCUAACACAUGCAAGUUUAGCGACGAACCAGGGCUUGCCCUGGGGCAAAGCAGCGAACGGGUGAGUAACACGUGGGUAACCUACCCCGAUAACCGGGACAACCCGAGGAAACUCGGGCUAAUACCGGAUGUGCUCACUGGACUUCGGUUCAGUGCGUAAAGGAAGCUUCGGCCUCCGUAUCGGGAGGGGCCCGCGGCCCAUUAGUUUGUUGGUGAGGUAACGGCUCACCAAGACCGCGAUGGGUAGCUGGUCUGAGAGGACGAUCAGCCACACUGGGACUGAGACACGGCCCAGACUCCUACGGGAGGCAGCAGUGGGGAAUCUUGCGCAAUGCGCGAAAGCGUGACGCAGCAACGCCGCGUGGGGGAAGAAGGCCUUCGGGUUGUAAACCCCUUUCAGGAGGGACGAAGGUUCGGCGGUGAAUAGCCGUCCGGACUGACGGUACCUCCACAAGAAGCCCCGGCUAACUACGUG
rnacentral:rRNA from 1 species